GGGGAACAGACCCAAACCCCCCUCCGUUCUGCUCCCCAGACGGCCAGCUGGCAGCAGGCUCAGCCCAGGUUGGACGACUUGUUUCCGUGAAUAAAGAAUGGUGUGUGGACUCGCAAUCGUCAGUCCUCGGGGAUAGACAGAUUGCCUGGACAAGUUAGUUUGCCUCUCUAAGCCUCAGUUUCCUCAUCUGUAAAAUGGGACUGGACAUAAUACCUAUCCUAUGAGGUUGCUGUAAAAAUCGAAUGACAUAACACAUAUCCUGGAAAAUCUGAGGUGUUUCCCAAGGCCCUCUAAUUUAGCAUGACCCGAUCCUGCCCAGCCUAUAUGCACAGACUGGCUCUUGGCCAAGGACUUGCAGG